UAGGGAAUCUUCGGCAAUGGACGAAAGUCUGACCGAGCAACGCCGCGUGAGUGAAGAAGGUUUUCGGAUCGUAAAACUCUGUUGUUAGAGAAGAACAAGGACGUUAGUAACUGAACGUCCUCUGACGGUAUCUAACCAGAAAGCCACGGCUAACUACGUGCCAGCAGCCGCGGUAAUACGUAGGUGGCAAGCGUUGUCCGGAUUUAUUGGGCGUAAAGCGAGCGCAGGCGGUUUCUUAAGUCUGAUGUGAAAGCCCCCGGCUCAACCGGGGAGGGUCAUUUGAAACUGGGAGACUUGAGUGCAGAAGAGGAGAGUGGAAUUCCAUGUGUAGCGGUGAAAUGCGUAAAUAUAUGGAGGAACACCAGUGGCGAAGGCGGCUCUCUGGUCUGUAACUGACGCUGAGGCUCGAAAGCGUGGGGAGCAAACAGG
rnacentral:rRNA from 1 species